CAGUCGCCACGGUAAUACGUAGGUGGCAAGCGUUGUCCGGAAUUAUUGGGCGUAAAGGGCUCGCAGGCGGUUUCUUAAGUCUGGUGUGAAAGCCCCCGGCUCAACUGGGGAGGGUCAUUGGAAACUGGGAAACUUGAGUGCAGAAGAGGAGAGUGGAAUUCCACGUGUAGCGGUGGAAUGCGUAGAGAUGUGGAGGAACACCAGUGGCGAAGGCGACUCUCUGGUCUGUAACUGACGCUGAGGAGCGAAAGCGUGGGGAGCGAACAGGAUUAGAGACCCCCGUAGUCCCUGUCUCUUAUAC
rnacentral:rRNA from 1 species